rnacentral:lncRNA from 1 species
AUGGUGGGGUGGUCUGGAGCUGAUGGCCGAGAAAGAAUCCUUGAAGACAUCUUUGGUGCAAAAAGAGUGGAAUUAAAGUUUAUAAGAACACCGCAAUCAACUCAGCAUUCUUGCAAAUAUAAUGAAACAAGAGUGAUCCAAGCUGGAGUUGUUAGACUGGAAUUGAUGACUUUAGGAAUCCAGAAUUAUUUGCUGGCCAAAAAGAGGAAAGAAGAAAACAUGAGAUUCUAUGUCAAAGUUAUGAGUUGAAAGCAAAGAGCAUGUCUUUCAAGAGUGGUGCCUGGUGAUUCUGAGUGGGAUACCCGGAACGAUUUU